CCUACGGGAGGCAGCAGUGGGGAAUUUUGGACAAUGGGCGAAAGCCUGAUCCAGCAAUGCCGCGUGAGUGAAGAAGGCCUUCGGGUUGUAAAGCUCUUUUGUCAGGGAAGAAACGGUGAGAGCUAAUAUCUCUUGCUAAUGACGGUACCUGAAGAAUAAGCACCGGCUAACUACGUGCCAGCAGCCGCGGUAAUACGUAGGGUGCAAGCGUUAAUCGGAAUUACUGGGCGUAAAGCGUGCGCAGGCGGUUUUGUAAGUCUGAUGUGAAAUCCCCGGGCUCAACCUGGGAAUUGCAUUGGAGACUGCAAGGCUAGAAUCUGGCAGAGGGGGGUAGAAUUCCACGUGUAGCAGUGAAAUGCGUAGAUAUGUGGAGGAACACCGAUGGCGAAGGCAGCCCCCUGGGUCAAGAUUGACGCUCAUGCACGAAAGCGUGGGGAGCAAACAGGAUUAGAUACCCUGGUAGUCCACGCCCUAAACGAUGUCUACUAGUUGUCGGGUCUUAAUUGACUUGGUAACGCAGCUAACGCGUGAAGUAGACCGCCUGGGGAGUACGGUCGCAAGAUUAAAACUUAAAUGAAUUGACGG
rnacentral:rRNA from 1 species